UGGGGAAUUUUGGACAAUGGGCGCAAGCCUGAUCCAGCAAUGCCGCGUGCAGGAUGAAGGCCUUCGGGUUGUAAACUGCUUUUGUACGGAACGAAACGGCUCUGUCUAAUACAUGGGGCUAAUGACGGUACCGUAAGAAUAAGCACCGGCUAACUACGUGCCAGCAGCCGCGGUAAUACGUAGGGUGCGAACGGUAAUCGGAAUUACUGGGCGUAAAGCGUGCGCAGGCGGUUAUAUAAGACAGAUGGGAAAUCCCCGGGCUCAACCUGGGAACUGCAUUUGUGACUGUAUAGCUAGAGUACGGCAGAGAGGGAUGGAAUUCCGCGUGUAGCAGUGAGAUGCGUAGAUAUGCGGAGGAACACCGAUGGCGAAGGCAAUCCCCUGGGCCUGUACUGACGCUCAUGCACGAAAGCGUGGGGAGCAAACA
rnacentral:rRNA from 1 species